rnacentral:rRNA from 1 species
UACAUAGGCAGCGAGCGUUGUUCGGAAUUACUGGGCGUAAAGAGUGUGUAGGCGGUGCUCUAAGUUCGGUGUGAAAUCUCCUGGCUCAACUGGGAGGGUGCGCCGGAAACUGGAGUGCUUGAGCGUGGGAGAGGAAAGCGGAAUUCCUGGUGUAGCGGUGAAAUGCGUAGAUAUCUGGAGGAACACCGGUGGCGAAGGCGGCAUCCUGGACCGGCAUUGACGCUGAGGCGGCGAAAGCUAGGGGAGCAAAC